UGGGUUGCUUCUCUCUGGAUUUUAUCC
rnacentral:piRNA from 1 species